UACGUAGGGGGCAAGCGUUGUCCGGAUUUAUUGGGCGUAAAGAGCGUGUAGGCGGCUAGAUAGGUCCGUUGUGAAAACUCGAGGCUCAACCUCGAGACGUCGAUGGAAACCAUCUGGCUAGAGUCCGGAAGAGGAGAGUGGAAUUCCUGGUGUAGCGGUGGAAUGCGCAGAUAUCAGGAAGAACACCCGUGGCGAAAGCGGCUCUCUGGAACGGUACUGACGCUGAGACGCGAAAGCGUGGGGAGCGAACAGG
rnacentral:rRNA from 1 species